CAGACAGACAGCGGCGGCGGCGGCGGCAGCAGGAUCGGAAUCCAGGAAGGGAUCCGGAAUUGUUCCAAGUCACUGUGGCAAGUAUCGCUGCAGGGUACAAGAUGAAGUAGCUUUUUAAAGUUUCGGUGCUUAAAGCUGACUAGAGGAUGCAGGCACUUGCUGUGAUUCUGAAAUAAGAACAAUGGCAGGAAUUCUAUAAAAAUGGUGGAGGAUGGUGAGGAAUGAAAGGUGGGAUGUGACCGUAUGCUCCAGACGCCCAGCGCGUGGGGUGUUUGACCUGGGGCGAACAUGCUGGGGGCAGAACUGGGGGCACGGUGCCAUCCUCAGGUCCGGCAUCUGCCUCUGCGUUUUGGAGCCAGAGUUCGACACAGUGAUGAUCUUUUAAACGAGCAGUAGGUAACACAUCUAUCUUUGUGUGAAGUGAUACUGUGAAAGUCUGUCUCUGGGUUCGUUGCAGACCAUGCGGUGGGUUAACGUAAAGGUUCAUUAUGUGAAAAUGUCUCCUACCUGGGAUCAGCCUCGUUUUUGUCCAGUAGCCCCCUGCUUCUCACACAUGGGGAGACAACAGUGGCACUGUGGGAUGAGGUAGUAGGUUGUAUAGUUUUAGGGUCAUACCCACACUGGGAGAUAACUAUACAUCCUACUGUCUUUCUCAAAGUGGCGGCAAUUCUUCUGAAUCCGUUGGAGCCUCCUACUGCCUGUGAAUGGGUUCUGCAAAAAUAUACAAUUAAUAUAUGCUCUGUACGGUAUGUAUGUAUUUAUCUAUGUAAAUAUUUGUUCAGUUCAGUGCAUGUGAUCUUUUUUUUCCACACAAAUUCACUAAAAUAUUGUCCCAAAUGCUCAGGCAGUGUGAGGUAGUAGAUUGUAUAGUUGUAGGGUAGUGAUUUUGCCCUGUUUGGAAGAUAACUAUACAAUCUAUUGCCUUCCCUGAGGAGCAGAGAAGCAUCUCUCCCAUCUGUACUUUUUUGCUCCAGUAGUGUUCUGCUGAUUACACAGUGUCAACCAUCUUUAGUUCCAGUUUCUUCACAUCCUUGUUCAGAGAGACACGCACGGGCAACGUGAGAAAAGAUAUAAAUUUGCAUGCAGGACGGUGGACAACAGCCAGUCAGUGCAUCCUUGUGAAUAACUUGAAUACACCAGCUUGUUGAUAAGCCCGCUGUAGGCGCAUGUGAGGGAUGGUCAGUUGGGCAAAUUAGUGUAAGUCCAGUUACAGAAGUGCUACUGAAAUGAGUAACUGGGUUUGAAAAGUCCAAAGAGAUGAGGAUUUAGCCCGCGGUGGAGAAACGUAGGAAUCGUGCUAAUUGCUCGUGCUUAUUCCAGUCGGGAGCCAGAACAGGGACGGCACGGCGGAGGGCGACCUUCAUGCAGUGGCCGGCCUCUGGGUGCAGCCCAUCGACAAGGUUGGGUGUUUUUACUGCACUCAGUAGAGGUCAUGUGGAGAAAACAAGAAAAAGAGGAGGCAAGGGCGAGUCACAUAUUGCGUCUGACUUCAAAUGGAGUGCAGUGAAUUAGAGCCUCGCGGCCAGGUCUGGCUGUGGGUAGCUGGGUGUGACUCUCUCCGGCUGGGAGCACAGCUCUGACUACAGCAUUAGCACAAAGGUACGACCUUGACGCGCCUCUCUCUCUCUCUCUCUCUCUCGCUAUCUCUCUCCCUCUCCCACACCUUCCUCUGCACAGAGCACCCAUAAUCUACUUCAGCACACUUGUGUUCUCAGAAAACCGGUCAUGUUCACAGGACAACGAGGCACAGAGGCUGGCUAAUGGUCAGACGAUUGACAUGGGGACCCCUGGGUAGAGGUAGCAGAUUGUAUAGUUGCAGGGCAGAGAUUUUGCCCCAGUGGUGAUAACUAUACAAGCUGCUGCCUUUCUUAGGGGUCCACGAAGGCAGCACGUCUGACUCACCCCUGCUCCAGAGGACCACGUGUGAUGUGAGAUAUAUGUAAAUAUAUAUGAAUGCCCUGGGGCAGCCAUUCCGGGUGGCUUUGCCAAGUCUCCCCAGUCCCUUAAUUUUGGCUUAAUUUCUCUUAGUAAUGUUUUGAAAUAUAAGGGUAGUGCACAUUAAAGCAUUGUUUGCCCUCACUAUAAAUUAACCAAACUUCAGGAUAGCUGACGUCACCUAGCAUGCAUCGUGCAGUUACUGCUACACUGGACCGACAGACAUGGCGCAGGACUGUAAAGAAGGACUCAGUGUGAAUUGUGGUGAAGUGUUGUGUGCAUGCCAUGUCAGGUUUGUCUUGUUUUCAUUAAUAAACAUCAGUACGGCUUGAA